AGUCAGAGGUGGCUCUCAUAGGUGACGGGAGAAGCUGGCCCAGUAAACAGAGGGACAGGCUGCUUCCCACCAGCCUCUAACAUCUUCAACAUCUUCCAACAUCUCAUGGGCAUGAGGACAUCUGCCACACCUGCUGUUGUGGGAAAGCCAGAAUUCCUUUAAGUCCACCAGGAACAAGAAAUUACAUGCUGAAGGUCAGAGACACAACUUUCUGCAGCCAUAAGAGUAAGAAUAGUUGCUGCUGUUUACACCAUAUUUUGCUGGCCUGCUUGGUAAGACCCUACAAAGGCUGAUAAAGACCUGUUUCUGUGUUUUCUUCUAACAUUUUGGGGAAGGGAGGGUCAGAUGGAUAGAAAAUUGGUAA